GGGAAAAACAUAGCAGCACGUAUAUUAAAAUUGGAGCGAUAUGGAGAAGAUUAUCAUGGCCCCUGCACAAGGAUGACAUGCAAAUUCGUGAAGUGUUCCAUAUUAAA